rnacentral:rRNA from 1 species
GAUGAACGCUGGCGGCGUGCCUAAUACAUGCAAGUCGAGCGAACGGACGAGAAGCUUGCUUCUCUGAUGUUAGCGGCGGACGGGUGAGUAACACGUGGAUAACCUACCUAUAAGACUGGGAUAACUUCGGGAAACCGGAGCUAAUACCGGAUAAUAUUUUGAACCGCAUGGUUCAAAAGUGAAAGACGGUCUUGCUGUCACUUAUAGAUGGAUCCGCGCUGCAUUAGCUAGUUGGUAAGGUAACGGCUUACCAAGGCAACGAUGCAUAGCCGACCUGAGAGGGUGAUCGGCCACCCUGGAACUGAGACACGGUCCAGACUCCUACGGGAGGCAGCAGUAUGGAAUCUUCCGCAAUGGGCGAAAGCCUGACGGAGCAACGCCGCGUGAGUGAUGAAGGUCUUCGGAUCGUAAAACUCUGUUAUUAGGGAAGAACAUAUGUGUAAGUAACUGUGCACAUCUUGACGGUACCUAAUCAGAAAGCCACGGCUAACUACGUG